GGACAGGGAGGCCUGGAGUGCUCCGGUUCAUGGGGUCGCAAAGAGUCGGACACGACUGAGCGACUGAACUGAACUGAACGUGGAAGUAUUGGGUGACUUGAUCGUGGGAACCCAGUAGGAAAAUGGCAUACCUACUUUUGGAAAGGUUUCUAACUGGAGUCCCUGGAGAAAUGCUGGUGGUCUGGCAGGAGGGUCUUGGAGCAUGGCCGUGGAAGAAACAACAUCCCAGCAGUGUCUUGGGCACACUCAGGACGGUGAAGAACACCUACCAAGGCUGGUCAGAAGCUAGAGGACAGUUCUGGAAGUCACACCUGUGUGGUCUUUGGGGAUGAGCACAGAACAGUGAGUCAGGAGGUCUCAAUUCUAGCCCAAGUUUUUACCACCUUGAGCAAAUCAUGUCACAUGUAGGUCUCAGUCCUUUCCCCCAUAAAUAAGGGGCUGUUCUAAAGGGCAACCAAGGCUCUGUUUA